AUGGCCUCCAGCGACCGCCCCUAUGUCUUCCCCUUGAACUUCUGCUGCAAUGAUGAAGUCAAAGCCUCUGUGACCUUGGGCUGCCUGGUGACUGGCUUAAUCUCGAAGCCAGUGACCGUGAAAUGGUACACUGGUUCCCUGAACAGCAGUUCUGUGACCUUCCCCACCACCCUCCACAUGGCCUCCAGCCUCUACACCACCGUGAGCCAGGUGACCGCCUCAGGCGAGUGGGCCCAACAGAAGUUCACCUGCAGCGUGGUACACGAACCGCCCAAAAGCAGCAUCAACAGGACCUUCACUGCAUGUUCCAAGAACAUAACCUCACCCACCGUGAAGCUGUUCCACACAGCAUGCGACCCCCGUGGUGACUCCCAGUCCACCAUCCAGCUGUUGUGCCGCAUCACCGGCUACACCCCAGGGUCCAUAGAGGUCACCUGGCUGGUUAAUGGAGAGAAGACUCGGGGCCUCUACUCAACCACGACCCAGCCCAAGCAGGAGGGCAAGCUGGCCUCCAUCUACAGUGAAGUCAACAUCACCCAGGGCCAGUGGGUGCCUGAAAAGACCUACACCUGCCGUGUCACUGUCCACGGAAGAUCCUAUGAGUCCAGUGCCCAGAGGUGCCUAGAUUCUGAACCUCGAGGAGUGAGCGCUUACCUCAUCCCACCCAGCCCCGUCGACCUGUACGUCAACAAGAUGCCUAAGCUCACAUGCCUGGUGGUGGACCUGGCCAGUGAGGAUGGGGUGAAAGUGAACUGGUCGCGGAGCAGGGGGACCUCUGUGCAUGCUGACCCACAUACUGCCAAGAGGCAACAAAAUGCAACAGUCAGUAUCAUGUCCACCCUGCCAGUGGACACCAAGAACUGGAUUGAGGGCGAGACCUAUCACUGUGUAGUGUCCCACCCACACCUACCCAGAGAAAUUGAGAGGUCUAUCACCAAGGCCCCCGGCAAGCGUUUGCCCCCCGAGAUCUACUUGUUCCCGCCACCCGAGAAGCAGGGGGACAAGGACAGGCUCACCCUCACCUGUCUAGUCCAGAACUUCUUCCCCCCUGACAUCUCGGUACAGUGGCUGUGCAACAAGGUGCCCGUGCCUUCGGACCAGGUCUACACCACUGAGCCCCAACCAACUAGUGGCCGCACCCGCGCCUUCUUCACUUUCAGCCUCCUGGAGAUCAGCAAGUCUGACUGGGAGCAGCAGAAGACCUUCACCUGCUAUGUGGUCCAUGAGGCACUGCCUGAAACAAGAAUUCAGGAGAAAUCGGUGUCGAAAGGCUCCGGUAAUUGAUAUCCCCCUAUCCUACCCUCUCCCGGGCCCUGUCUCCUGGGGCGGGGGAUUGGGGAAGUGGAGGACUGGCCAGACCCUCCAUAUGCUGUGUAAUGACCCUGGGAAGCCACCCCAAUAAACAUCAAGUGCC